rnacentral:rRNA from 1 species
AUGGUCUGUGAUCUGCAGAUAUAUAGUAGGAACAAGUGCGAUUUGGAUUUCCUUUUUGUUUGUCUUAUGUGUCGCUUUGAGAUGAUGAGGCCGAGAUAUGGCCUCGCUGCUGUGCGUCAGAACCAUGGCUCGAAUGUGUGUACCAGCCUCUAUCAGACCUGGCCUCUAAGCAUAUCCUUCCAAGCUAUGGUGGUGCACAUGCUAGGCUACUCAUUUGGUGCAGCCACCCCCCCCCCCUCUUUCCAACAAAGCAAGUUUUUUCGUUCAGAUUUUAGACCUCUUGAGUUCCAGUUUAGUUCAAUAAAGGAAAGCUUUCUCUUCAUGGUUUGCUCCUUAUGA